CCUCUCUAUAAUGCAAUAUCGUAUUAUCCAUUUGUAAUGAAUGAUAGUAACACUAAAUCGGAUUGGAUUCAGUUAAAUCUACAUUUCUCAAGGUCUCUAACAUCGAGAUUUGAAAUAUCUUUCAUGUAAAUACCUUCUUUGUCAUGUGACUUGUAUAUAUUCGUGUAUAUUCAGAAUCGUACCUACGCACAAUGUCUUUGCACAAUGGCACAAGCAACGUGGUCUCUUUCUGUAAAACAUAGCACUCUUUAUUUCAGCCACAGCAAAGAUCCCGAACCACGUGCAGUCAGCAGAGUUACAGCGUCUGGUUACCGUCUUGCAGUUACGAUACAGAAUAUGUGCACAUAGCUUUCAAUGACCAGACGAAAAAAAGAAUUCAUUUCAAGUAUGUCGAGAAGAAAACGUAAGUAAAGCACACUAUUUACAUUCAUAAUACAUUUUAUUCCGCAGGCUCUAUUGUAAAGUUAAACUCUAGCUGCGUAUAGGCUGCCAUUAUCCAUUAUAUUAGACAAUAUGGAUCCACUCAUCUAUACAUCUAUUUUCUUUUGUGACAGGACCCAUCUCUGAAAAAAUCACCUCACCCAAGAAAAUACGACUCAUUCAUGAGAAUGAAAAGUGCAAAGUCUCCCAAGGAAUUGUCUUGUAAUAUAGCAUGUGAAUAAAUAAUUUUUUGAAAUA